GUUUGUUUUUAUUCUUCCUCUAAAAUUUUCGUUGCCCUAAGCCUACCUAGCAGGGAUUUUGCUCUUUGCGAUGGAUGCCGAUGACGCUCCCUCGAAUGCGGUGGAUCAAGCCAUAGCUGCCGCGGAUUUCGCCCAGACGAUCCAGCGAGAUUUAAACUGCCUCUCCGACCCGGAUCGAAACACCAGGCGAAAGGCAUUGGAGCGCCUUGACAAGCUUCUUGUUACCGAGUCUCGUUCUCCAGCUAUGCUCCAGAUUGUUUGGGACGAGACGAUACUGAAGCUGGUCGUAAGAAACCUUCACGACCCCGUGGAGAGGUGUCGAGAAGCUGCCGUGAACAUGAUUUCUAGAGUUGUGAAGCUUUUAGCAGACGUGGAGCAAACAACAUUUUUGAUAGUUCCUGCAAUAGCUGAGCGGACUGGGCAGCUUCCAGUGCUUGAACAUUCCGAAGAGAUACGUCUAAGUUUAAUCAACUUGCUCAAUGCUAUAAUUUGUCAGUGCUCAGUGGAGAGCGUUCGUGAGUUCUCUGAGCACAUAACAAGGGUAAUCUGCGUGACGUUAUCGGAUUCUUUUCACGAAAUUAAAAAAGCUUCUUGUGCGCUGCUGUCUAGACUAUGCAGUCGUGCACCUGAUGUUAUAGGCGAGAAUGCAGAUGUUAUACUGCACGCGCUACUUCCGAAUAUUUUGCACGCUCACUCACGGGUGCGAUCUGCGGUUGUAUCCGCACUCAAUGACGUUGUUUCAUGCGGUUUGCCGGCUGGUAUGAUUGCCCAACACGUUGCUCCGGGCGUCAAAGCGGUUGCAUUUGAUCAUUCCGAUACAGUGAGAAAGGUCUUUUUUGAGUAUGUUGCUCUAUGGCUUGGGUAUGAGCCAGAUGAAACAUGCCCAAUCACUGAAACAAAGAAUCAGACGGCCUAUAUGCCGUUGCUCUUGCCGUUGCUUCUACUUGGAAUUGGAGAUGACUCACCAGAGAUUUCUACCUCGACUUUGGCAAUGGUUUAUCGUGUAGGUGAAGUUUACAAGCACUGGAAUGCUCAUGAUUCGGUGCAAGAGAAGACCUGGAGGCAUGAUUGUAAUGUUCUUCCACUACCUUUCGAAACAGAGCCUGGCUAUGGCUCACGCUUAAUGAUACAGCGACACCUCAAGCAAAUAGUUUACGACUGUUCGAAGGAUUUUCGUGAUUGGGCAGUUACUACGCGCUUGGGUGCUGCUCGACUUUUGCAAACUACUCUGGUGUUCGCAGAAAGUCAUUCCUCUCGACACCUGGAUGUUCUCAUUCCUUCCCUCUGCAGUGCUGUUGCAGAUGACGAUGUUCGAGUAGCACAACACGUAGUAAAAUCCUCGCAAAUAUUGGGGUUUAACAAUGCUCCGGAGCAUUGGUUGGAUCUUAUCAUGGAUUCGAUAGUCAGCGAUCGGUCUACAGCUUUGCAAAGAGCAAAUGGAUUAGUCGUAUUCGCUGGCUUGCUUUAUGGUACGCCGAACGAGAAUGUUCAUGAAGGCCUGGUUAUUCAGAUUUUGCAAGGGCUAUGUCAAGCUAAUUUGUCUUUUGAUGAAAGCCUAGCAGUACGACGACAGCUUUUGGCUGUUUUAACCAAUGUUGUCGUAAAAGCGGGCCCGAUAUCCAGAGUCUCUUCGAAAGAGAUGUUGAUUUUAUUGUUACAGCUUCAAUGUAUUCAAGAUGAUGCCAGACUACGUCAGGAUGCUGCUUCUUUGAUAGAAACCUUUGCUCAUGUCACUGGCUACGAGUCAUUGGAGCAGCUGUAUGCUUGUCACACAAGGGACCUGAUUGAUCGAGCAAUCCUUCGACACGAGGAAUGGCUAGGAAACUCGCCAGGACGACAUCUUUUUGAAGCCGUAUUGAAGAAUUUUGGCCAUUUAGCCGGCUCAUAUCUAGCGGAGAUACUUCCAAUUAUUGCGAGCUGUCUAAAACCCCAAAGAGAUCCUUCUCUGCGUCUUUCUCUUUUGCAUCUUUUGGACGACUUAUUUGAAACUUCUGGCCUUGAAUCUUGGUGGAGCUCCUUAGCAAAGGAAGUCAUUGUCAGUGUUUUGAUUCCAUGCGGCAUAUGGCAAGCAGGAAAGGUUGGAGCUGCAGUCAGACAUGCGGCUAUGGUUGCAGUUGGGACGUAUUUAAGACGCGGUCUUUGUACUCAGAAAGAUCUGAAUGACAUCCUGGAAACGGGGGAAACGUUGCCUGUUGUCAUAUCCUGUCUGGAGGAAGAUUUCUACGUUGAUACGCGACGAGUUACUUGUCAUGUCAUGGAGAACAUCAUUCGCAUUGCCGGAAACAGUUUAAAAGAUGACUACCGAGUUAAGAUCGGAGCAGUUCUCCAAAAGCGACUUGACGAUAGCAAUGAUGGCGUCCGUCUUGGGAUAUUAAGAUCGUUGUCCCUCUUUCUGAGCACGCUUCCUCCGGCAUACCCUGGCACAGAGCUCAAGAGCUGUCUAAGCAGUCUCGUCCUACACAUGGACGACCAGAACCAGCAAAUCAAGGAGUCGGUUUGCAAAGCUGUCGAGGUUUGCGCAGUAAAACGCCCCGCUUUGGUCGUGGAAAUUGUCACGGAAGUCCGGUCCAAGCACCAGAGCAGCCAGUACUGUGACUAUCUUCUCACGGUGGCGGGAUCCGUCCAAACAGCGGAUUCUGUAGAAUCCGCUGCAUGAUCAAAGUGAGACGAGGAGCGCUUCAACCACCGGUGAUCCAAAGAUACAUUGAUUUUGACGUUAAACCGGCAAUAAAAGCCAGGAAAGAGACUCGUCUGGACACACAUCCUCGAUUUCCUGGCCCGCGCGGUACAUGCUCUCUCAGGGUUAUGAUUGGUGUGGUUUUGGAUAGGCGCUGUGCUACUGCUAUCGCUCGAUGGCUAGAAUCGCGAGAUUUCCAAUGCCCACACCGGAAAGAAAAGUUUUCCAGUCGUCUUCUCGCGAGAUCUUCCUUUGGGACAGCUCCUCUAUCCCAGUCUGUGAAGGCAAGGAAAGGACGUUAAAACCAUGCAUCUGCCAAGGGAAUGGAAGAAUCUUCUUCCAUCUCGCGUUUGUCCGGUAGCGAGCGAGUAUCGAACCCCUCUUCGCUUUUUCUGACCAAUUAGCGAAUUAGAAAUUUGGCGCCAUUUUCUGGUC